rnacentral:rRNA from 1 species
UACGUAGGGGGCGAGCGUUGUCCGGAAUUAUUGGGCGUAAAGAGCUCGUAGGCGAUUCGGCAAGUCACGUGUGAAAUCUCCACGCUCAACGUGGAGGCGCCACGUGAGACUGCCGUGACUCGAGUCCGGUAGGGGAGCGUGGAAUUCCCGGUGUAGCGGUGAAAUGCGCAGAGAUCGGGAGGAACACCCGUAGCGAAGGCGGCGCUCUGGGCCGGUACUGACGCUGAGGAGCGAAAGCGUGGGGAGCAAACAGG